AAUAAGAGUUUAUUUUCAAGUUCAAAGGAACUCACUAGUAAAGCUCCCAGGUAAUGAUGAAAAGGCUGGGGAGCAAGGCAUUACUGCAAAGGGAGAGGCAGACGCUUAGGACCUUCCCUAACGAGGACAUUUAUGUUACAAAUGAUGGGUUAUGUUAUGUAUAGACAUUUUAUGUUGGGAUGGACUCUGAGAGUCUCUUAUGGAUGAAUGUUCAAAUAGAAUGUCCAUUAGGUGUUCCCUUUUAUUAAAUGAAAAAUUUAGAGUGCA